UACGUAGGGUGCAAGCGUUAAUCGGAAUUACUGGGCGUAAAGCGUGCGCAGGCGGUUUUGUAAGUCUGUCGUGAAAUCCCCGGGCUCAACCUGGGAAUGGCGAUGGAGACUGCAAGGCUAGAGUUUGGCAGAGGGGGGGUAGAAUUCCACGUGUAGCAGUGAAAUGCGUAGAUAUGUGGAGGAACACCGAUGGCGAAGGCAGCCCCCUGGGUCAAAACUGACGCUCAUGCACGAAAGCGUGGGGAGCAAACAGG
rnacentral:rRNA from 1 species